CUGCCUCUGUUGCUUGCCUCAUCUUAGUUACAAACUUAGUACUGCCAUGUGGUAUGAAAGAGUGAUAAUCAUUACUGUCAGUAUUUAGUAAUUCAGAAAGGCAUAAAGCUGGCCUAAGGUCUAAGUUACAACUGUUGUACCAGUAUUCCGUGUACGUCCUUUCCAUUUUCAACUGUAGACAUUGGAUCAGAUAACUAUACAAAUACCAAAAAGCAACAGUUAAUGAUUAUUUCAUGCAAGUAAGCAAUUAGCUAACUGACAAACCAGUGUUCUAAAAGAAAUCAGUAACAUAUUGUAGGACAAAUGGAACAUCAAACAUCAAACCUUUGCAUGUAAAGUUCAUUAAGGGAAAGACUUUGAGAGCAGUUGCUUAGUUGAAACAUAUUCAAGCCCUUGAGAAAAUGAUUUGCACGGCAGAAAACAAGUGAAUUAGCAGCAUGAGAAAUCAUAAGCAUUCAUAAAUUUGAUCGAUAGAGAAUAAUUUUUUUGCUGUACCUCAAAAACUCAACUAGAUAUAUAGCUUUU